AGGGACCUGGAUUCUUAGUAUUUCAGGCUGCUGUCCCUUUUUUUUUUUCAUUUCCUUUUUGUUUUUGUUGUUGAUGUGACCGCGUGUCCACAACCCUGGGAUUCCCUCGCCCUCAGAUUCCAGAAUCCAAUUUCUUGGAUUUCAGUGUUUUUAAGGUCAGUGGAAACUUUUUUAAAAAGCAACAUUAAGCUAAUAUAUUCUUACUGCAGAAAAGGAGCUUUGUUCUAUUUAUCUCUAAAACUGAUGCUCACUAGUAGUUCUCAGAUUUGGAAAGGUAUUUGUACUAUUUAUUUAUAGGAGCAUUUAUUUAUAGGAAAUACUGGCUGGGCGUGGUGGCUCAUACCUAUAAUCCCAGCACUUUGGGAGGCCAAUGUGGGCGGAUCAGUUUGAGACCAGCCUGGCCAACAUGGCAAAACCCCGUCUCUACUAAAAAUACAAAAAUUAGCUGGGCGUGGUGGUGAGUGCCUGUAAUCCCAGCUACUCCGGAGGCUGAGGCUGGAGAAUCGCCUGAACCUGGGAGGCGGAGGUUGCAGUGGGCCGAGAUCGCGCCAUUGCACUCCAGCCUGGGCGACAAAAACGAAACUCCAUCUCAAAAAAAAAAAAAGGAAAUCCACUAGAUCGAGGUGCUUGGAAAAACAACCCAUCACUAAGGAUCCUUCCCUUCCUCUUCUCCAUUAAUACCACCUUUGUAAAGAUUCCCUCCGGUACCACCCCAAAGAACUGAAGUGCAGAUAAUUAUUUCCCAGAAUGUUGUUUUUACGCUGGUGAAAUUCAACGGCAAACAUUUUACUAACACUCUCCUCCUUUUCCUACCUGAGGUAUUAAAACUUGGAGUCAGCCUGGGUAAUAUUUUAUAGGAAAAUGCUCUUCAUCACUGUACACCUGUGCCUACCAUGGUACCUGGGGCAUCUAGUAGGUGCCAGAUAAAUAUAUAUGUACAUUUUAUAUAUAUAUAUAUAUAUAUGUAUGUAUGUAUAUAUAGUUUUUUUUUUUUUUUUUUCCCGAGACAGAGUCUUGCUCUGUCACCCAGGCUGGCAUGCAGUGGCGUGAUCUUGGCUCACUGCAACCUCCGCCUCCUGGUUCAAGCAAUUCUCCUGCCUCAGCCUCCCAAGUAGCUGGGAUUACAGGCACGCACCACCAUGCCCAGCUAAUUUUUGUGCUGUUAGUAGAGACGAGGUUUCACCAUGAUGGCCAGGCUGGUUUCAAACUCCUGACCUCAGGUGAUUCGUCCACCUCAGCCUCCAAAAGUGCUGGGAUUACAGGCACGAGCACUGCACCCUGCCACAGACAAAUAUUUACUGAGGGAAUUAAUGAGAAGAAUCUGGGAGAAAAGAAGAAAGCAGAGAUUUCUAAAAUGGAAGAAUUUCCCCUAGAAUUAUCCAGAACUGACUGUGUAAUAAAAGUACACUUUUUCCUUCUUUGCUUAGCUAAGUAUUGGGGAAACAUUUAAAAUUAUUAAAAAUAGAGGGAGUUUCGGGAGCCUGAAAAGUCUUUAGACCCCAAAACUGCUGGGAUCCUAGGCCUUAAGAUUCCAAAGAAGAGAUGCUCUUAGACUUGAUCCUGCCUGCUCACAGGCUCAGAGUGGACGUGGCUACUGGCUUAUCUUAGGUCUAGAAGAAUUAAGUGAUUGCAGUAUGCUCAGCUUAAAAAGUUGUCAUGAACCUGGGGAUGGAGUAGAGGGGGUUGGUAUUUAGAACAUCCUAACCACCCCUUUCUGCUCUGGUCUAGAAGGAGGCCAGAAACAUUUCAUAAAAUGUUGUACAAAGUAGCACUCCCAGAAUCCUGGCUGUUCAGCGAGGCAGUGCCGGCUGCUCAGUUGAGCAUGGCCCUUUGGAUUCACACGGACCUAAGUCCAAAUUCUAUCUGUGUCCUGAGCUGUUUAGCCUGAUAAAGAAAAGUAGACACUGGGCCAGGUGCAAUGGCUCAUUUCUGUAAUCCCAGUACUGUGGGAGGCUGAGGCAGGUUGAUCACCUGAGGUUGGGAGUUUGAGACCAGCCUGACCAACAUGAAAGAAACCCCUUCUCUACUAAAAAUACAUAAUUACCCGGGCGUGGUGGCACAUGCCUAUAAUUCCAGCUACUCGGGAGGCUGAGGCAGGAGAAUCGCUUGAACCUGGGAGGCGGAGGUUGCAGUGAGCCGAGAUGGCACCAUUGCACCCCAGCCUGGGCAAUAAGAGCAAAACUCUGUCUGGGAAAAAAAAGAAAAAAGAAGAGUAGACACCAUGAGGCCUGUCUAAGGCCUCAGCUCAGCUCUGAUAGGAGCUACUGGAAGCAAGUGACUUCGCAGAGGACCUAAACUGUAAGAAGUUCGCAUUGAAAGCUGGAGCCAAGGUGGGAGGUCUCGCUAUGCUUCCCAGGCUGGACUCAAAUUCCUGGGCUCAAGUGAUUCCCCCGCCUCAGCCUCCUGAGUAGCUGGGACUACAGAUAUGGCAUGUCAGUCUGGUGGUCUAGCCAGAGGAAGACUCCUGGAGCUGGUGAACUGUGCAUGGAUAUGCAGUCACGGGCAGCCCACCUCCUACUCCUCACCCUCCCUGUGCCUGUGAGGGUCUGCACUCACCCUGGUCUUGCUUUAUUGCCCAGGCUGGAGUACAGUGGCGCAAUCACGGCUCACUGCAGCCUCAACCUCUUGGGCCCGAGCAAUCUUCCCACCUUGGUCUCCUAAAGUGCUGGGAUAACAGGCAUGAGCCACCACAUCUGGCUGAGGCCCCACAUUUUCAUUUUGUGCUGAGACUUGUAAAUUAGGUAGCUGGUCCUGGCUGUAGCAGAUGGUAUAGAUUCUUUUUCUGGCUCUGUUUUUGUGACAUCUCAACUUACUGGGCUCUUAUUAAAGGUGAUUUAGGUGACUUAUCAACUUUUCAUGAGUACAGAUGAAGAACUCUUCUAGGGCAGGGGUCCCCAACCCUUGGGCCACAGACCAGUACUGGCCUAUUAGGAGCCAGGCCGCACAGCAGGAGGUGAGUGGCAGGCAAGCAAAUCAAGCUUCAUCUGUAUUUACAGCCACUCCCCAUCACUAGCAUUAUUGCCUGAGCUUGGCCUCCUGUCAGAUCAGUGGCGACCUUGAUUGUCAUAGGAGCGUGAACCCUCUAGUGAACUGCGCAUGGCAGAGAUCUAGGUUGCACUCUCCUUGUGAGAAUCUAAUGCUUGAUGAUCUGUCACUGUCUCCCAUCACUCCGAGAUGGGAUCGCCUAGUUGCAAGAAAACAAGUUCAAGGCUCUCACUGAUUUUGCCUUAUGGUGAGUUGUAUAAUUAUUUCAUUAUAUAUUACAAAGUAAUAAUAAUAGAAAUAAAGUGCACAAUAAAUGUAAUGUACUUGAAUCAUCCCUAAACUAUCCCCUGCCGCCCUAGUCUGUGGAAAAAUGGUCUUUCAUGAAACUGGUCCCUGUUGCCUAAAAGGUUGGGACUGCUGCUCUAGAAGGUAUGGGAUUGGGAGGUGGGGGUCACACAGAUAGCCACUGACAACCUGAGAAUAGUGACAUGGGCCUGUAAAAACAGAUCAAUAGGUAUCUGUGGAAGGUAUUGAUGAAUACAUGAAUGAAUGAAUGAAACAACAAACUAAGAAAAAUGGCAUGGCAUGCAUGAAUGUGUGAUGGGCUCAAAAUAUGAUCCUCAUAGGGAUAUUUGCCUUAGAAAAAGGAGGCAAAGGCUAAGCUGGAAAAAUCUGUGGCAAUUGAGAGCCCUUGGGGGCUCUGGGUAUGGGUGGGAGGAAUCUAAAGUCUCUCUGUAGAGACUGGUCUUGGGCCAUCCAAUCUUCUCUGCCCGCUACAGCUAAGCCUUUUUCUGCCCACUACAGCUUCCCACAUGCUGCUUCAAUGUUGAUAUCUUGAAGAGGCGUGAGCCACCUCACCCAGCCACAAUAAGAGCUUUUUAAUGAGAAGAAGACACAAGUCUUGAUUGAGAAUUUCUCUUCCUGAGAGGAAGUACCAGCAUGUUAUGGACCUUAGCUGAUUUGUCUUUAAAAAUCUCAAGCUGUAAUAAUUCCCAGUUGCUCAGUGCACAGUGAAUGAGGCUGAUAUUUAAACAGAACGCCUCAAAGGCACCCGCUGUGUCCACACUUUCUCCCUGCCUGUCCUAUGCCUCUCCAGGUGAUGUCCAUCUUCUCCUUGAAGCCCUCUCUGGCUGCUCCAGUCCCUGAGCUUUCCUUCCUGCACUCAUACAGCAUGAGGAAGGCUCCAUCUUUUUCUAGAUGUGCUAUUUUUUUUAGCAUUUGCUGUGUGCACUUUAGAGGCUCAUUGCCUCUUUGAGACCAAGGAUGGCACUGUCCCUUCUCUCUAGUUGCUCUGAGUGCCAAGCACAGCCCUGAACACCAAAUACUUUGACUCUUCUGUGGCUACUCAACCCUCCUGGCUGUUCCUUCAUCACCCUGGACCGGCCCCCACUCCAGGGUCUUUGCACUUGCUCUCCCUCUGCUUAGAAAGCCCUUCUCCCUGCAAUCUGCAGGGGCUUGAUUACUCUUCUCUUUCAGGCCUUUGCUCAAAUGUCACCUCAUCAAUGCACCCUUCUCUGACCAUCCUAUUGAAUAUUCCAAAUCUUUUUUUUUUUUUUUUUUUUUGAGACAGAGUCUUGCUCUUGUCGCCCAGGCUGGAGUGCAGUGGCACGAUCUUGGCUCACUGCAACCUCUGCCUCCUGGGUUCAAGUGAUUCUCAUACCUCAGCAUCCUCAGGAGCUGGGAUUACAGGCGCCCGCCAUCACACCCGGCUAAUUUUUGUAGUUUUAGUAGAGGCAGGGUUUUGCCAUGUUGGCCAGGCUAGUCUCAAACUCCUAACCUCACGUGAUCCACCCGCCUUGGCCUCCCAAAGUGCUGGGAUUACAGGUGUGAGCAGGCCAGGAACUAUUGUGCCAUGGAUAUUGUUGGUAGCCUAUCCAUCUUCUAUGUCCACAUCUGCAGGGGAAGGGGACCCUACCCUCAGCUCCUGGGGUGGUCCCUGGUUGGCACAGUCCAUUCUCCUGAGCACAGUCACAGUCUUCAGAGGGGCACCUGGUACCUGAGCUGUCCAAUCGGGGAGAUUCUUGGGACUCUCACCAGUAAUGUUGGUGUAGACUUGUUUCCUGUUCUUCCUGGAGACCUUGUUGGCCUGACUGAGCCAUCUGGCCACCAGAGUGAGGAUGUGGACAACAUAAAGCAGAGGGCAGAACCGAGGGAACCCCAGAUAAGGGGAGCCAGACCUGGAUUAAGGCAACUCUGAAAGGCAAGACUCUCUGGAUACUUUUUAAGGCACUUGGGGACUAAAAUAAUAGAGAGUCUAACAAAAAAAAUUUAAGAUGUCCAUUAUAUUGUUCAAAGUAUAAAGAAAUAUGGAAACUCCUUUGCUUACAAACUUCCAGCUUCCAAUUAAGCAGAGACCCCAAAGCUAUAGCCCAAAGCAAAAGUAUGUUGCCUUUAGUAGGGGGCACCUGUCGCCGACUCCCAGGAGUGUGGAGUUGGGAACUAGUUGGCAUUUUCAGUUUGUUCUAGAAGUCCAGGACUAUGUAUCUUGUCUUCUUAACCUGAAUGGGAUUCUCCCCAGUUCAGGGAACCAGCUGUGAGCUUUUUUUUUUUUUUUUUUUUGAGACAGGGUCUCACUCUGUUGCCCACGCUGGAGUGCAGUAGUACAAUCAUGGCUCACUGCAGCCUCGACCUUCUGGGCUCAAGCAAUCCUCCUGCCUCAGCCUCCCAAGUAGCUGGGACUACAGGCAUGUGCCAACACGUCCAGCUAAUUUUUGUGUUUUUUGUAGAGAUGGGGUUUCACCUUGUUGCUCAGUCUGGUCUCAGACUCCUGGACUCAAGUGAUCUGCCUGCCUCAGCCUCCAGAAUUGCAGGGAUUACAAGCGUGAGCCACCACACCUGAGUUCUCUCUUAUUGUAAUGAAAGUUUUCAGGGGAUCCACAUUUCAGCUCCCUGUACCCCUGUAAUCACAAGAGGGACCAAUGCUGUAAUGUCCUCUUAGCAAAUAGCCAAGAGCACACAGAUCUGACACACGUGGAAGGUAUUGUGAGGCUGUGUUCUGAAAAGGAAUAGUAAACUAGGAAAAGUUUCUCUUCAAACAAACAAACAAAAACCUGCCCUCUGACAAGCAGGUGCUUCUCUCAGGUUCUUGGCUUCCCAGUUUACUACCUGGCAUAUCUGUAGCAAAUGGUCGCUGAGAACCUGGAAGCAAUUCCUCAUUUGCAAGUCAAUGGCAGAUUUUUUUUUUUUCCUUUUUGAGACAGUCUCGCUUUGUUGCCCAGGCUAGAGUGUAUGGUGUGAUCUCAGCUCACUGCAACCUCAGCCUCCUGGGUUCAAGUGAUCCAUUCUCCUGCCUCAGCCUCCCGAGUAGCUGGGACUACAGGCAUGUGCCACCAUGCCCAGCUAAUUUUUGUAUUUUUAGUAGAAACGGGGUUUUGCCAUGUUGGCCAGGCUGCUCUCGAAUUCCUGACCUCAAGUGAUCCCCUCGCCUUGGCCUCCCAAAAUGCUGGGAUUACAGGCAUGAACCACCACACCGGCCAAUUUUUUGUGGUUUUCGUAGAGACAGGAUUUCAUUACGUUGGCCAAAUUGGUCUCAAACUCCUGUCCUCGUGAUCCACCCGCCUCGGCUCUCCAAAGUGCUGGGGGAUUACAGGCGUGAGCCAAUGCGCCAGGCCAAUAAUCACUGCUGGCAUUCUUGAGUGCCCAUAUGUGCCACACACUGUUUUUGCAAAAAUUAUAACUGAAGAAAUUAUGACAGUGAAAGAGAUCAGACCUAACCAACUCCAUCUUGCUUCUAACCUUUAAGCUGUCCUUGUACAUUCCUGGGCAUAGGCCGAACUAACUUUGGGAAGGAAUUCUGUUCAUGGUUUGACUCCGAAACAAAAUUGAUAACAGCCCUUUUCCAAGGCCCCCUUCUUGCCUGGGGACCAGUCUGCCUUUGCAGGGCUAACACAUUAGCUACAAGAUUAGAAAUUACGGGUUAGUGGUAAUGCAGCCUCUGGCUCCAAGAGUCUGAACCUCCUCAAAUUGCUCCUGGGGAUAACAUCACUAUUGUAAAACCUAAGAUCAGUGCUUGAGAUAUUUUGUAGACCCUGCACUUGAUGGAUCAGCUGACAUCACCCGGACUGGUUAUCUGGCUCAACCUGUUCUGCCAUCCCACCCAGGAACAGAAGACAGUAAGAAAAACUCACUUUGACCCCAUAUGAUUCCAUCUCCAACCUGAUCCAUCAGCACUCCCCACUUCCCGAGCCCCUACCCGCCAAAUUAUCUUUAAAAACUCUGCUCUCCGAAUGCUCCGGGAGACUGAUUUGAGUAAUAAUAAAACUCCAGUCUCCCUCUCCCGCACAGCCAGCUGUGUGUGAAUUACUCUUUCUCCACUGCAAUUCCCCUGUCUUGAUAAAUUAGCUCUGUCUAGGCAGCAGGCAAGGUGAACCCACUGGGCAGUUACAUAUUUACAUUUAUUUAUUUGUUUGUUGAGACAAGGUCUGUCACCCAGCCUGGGGUGCAGUGAUGUGAUCUCUGCUCACUGCAGCCUUGACUUCCCGGGCUCAAGCCAUCCUCCCACCUCAGCCUCCCAAGUAGCUGGGACUACAGGUGCACGACACCAUGCCUGGUUAAUUUUCAUAUUUUUUGUAGAGGUGGGGUUUCACCAUAUUGCCCAGGCUGGCCUCAAACUCCUGGACUCAAGAGAUCCCUCUGCCUCAGCCUCCCAAAGUGCUAGGAUUACAGGCAGGAGCCACCGUUCCCAGCCCUUGCCUUACAUUUAAUCUUCACUAUUAAUACACACAUGUUAUAAAUGAGAGCAUCAAAGUAUGGAGAGCAGAAGCAACUUGUCCAAGGUCAUACGCAACUAGAAAGGAGUGUAACUGAUAUUUAAACCCUAACAGUCUGGUUCCAGAAUCUGUGCUUUUAAAGUCAAGAUGAAAAGCAUGUCUGGGCCUUGACCCUUGGAACCCACCCCUACCACACAGGCUUUAGCUAGCAGAGGGGCAGCAAAGGAAGACAGCAAGAGGUGGCCUCUGGUCGUAGCUCUUUGUGGUUUGCCAAGGCUUUCUGGUUCACUGACUCAAAAGGGUUUGGGGCUUUACAGACUGGUAAGAUCUCCCAAACUGGGUAGUUGUACUUUAAUUUUGUUAAGUAAAAACAUUUUUAAAAAUCUGCUAACAUCACUAUCAUUUCAUAAAGUAAAUGUAAUUUCAAUGCAAAUAAACCCCAAGAAAGACACAAUCUCAGAGUACAGUCCAGGCCUUUAGGUUGAAUAAAUCUACCUUUGUAAACACCUCCUUUCGUUGUCCUGAUUUUCCUCAUCUCACCGUGGGCUGGUGAAAACGUCCUCAUGUGUAGCACCUGUUUAAGGACUGCCAUCCAGGAACCACUGUGGUACUUCAUACGAUCCCCAUAAACCCUCUGCAAGGUAGACAGGGAAAGUCUUGUUUACCCCACUCUACUAACGAAGAAAUCGAGGCUCAGAGAAGUCUUGUUUAAGGACACACAGCCUGAAAAAUGGCAGGGCCAGGUUACAAACCCAUGUUUUCAGACUGCAGGGGUCCAGUGCUCUUUCCUUCUAUACCUCAAAGCGUUCACAAAAUGCACUCACUGACCACUGGCUUGGUUGCUGUGUGAGGACCUAAAUGUUCAGAAAGAGAAGAAGCAUUUCCAACUGCCAGCUACCUUGCCGCCAGACUUCUUCCCCACUGGCUUACGAGGGUGCACUGUCAGCCCCAGCCCCCUGAGCCACAGCAUUCAGUAUCUAAAGCUGUAAUCUCUCCACUGCAGAGUGAGAAUGAAGAUACUGGCCACCCAGGUGGUUGUAAGGCUAAAACCACCACCUUUAAAGAUCGCUUGGCACAGUGCUGGCCACAGUGGGGCUCAUCACCACGUUUCUCACCUUCCCUUCCUCAGCCCUUGGAAAUGUGCAAGUAUAGUACAACCUACAAAGGCAAAUCCAUGUGGUAUAGUGCUCUGCACAGUGCAAUCCCUGUGUAAACAUUUCUAGACACAGAAAUGUCAGCUGGGGCAUUAUUUUGCUCAGGCUGACACUGAGGAAGACAUUUCCUGGAUUUUUUUCCUGUGCCCAUGGUGAGGUCCAAAGUGACCCAAAUACCACCUAAAUCCCUGGAUGCUAAACUCCUUGAGGGCAGAGACAGAGUUAUGAACCUCUGGGUCUCCCCAUAGGUCCAACCCAGCACUAGGUCUUCAGUGGCGUCUCUAAGAAUGUCAGUUGGUCAAUUUGUUAUUCAAUGGGCACAUGACAAGUUGCAGGAGUGCACAGGUGCUUUCAGGGUAUCAUCAUCUCAAACAGAAACAGCAUUGUUUCAAAGAGCCUGUAGGAGUCCAGAAGAAAUACAGGACUUUCUUCUUCCUUUUGCAAAAGCUGGCAGUUUAAAGCCACAGGGCAUUAGAUCAAGAAUGCCAUGAGGCUGACCAGUGAGGGGCUUGACUUUGAGGGCUCUGGGCUGGUUGGGCUGGCCAUGCUUACACUUGGAAAGCAGUAGGACCCAUUCCCUGGUUUUGAGCAUUCAAAGUAGCCUUGGCUUACUCUCUGCUCUGAGUUCUCACUUCAGUCUUCCUAUUCUGAGGUUCAAAGAACUGCAAAUAGUCCUCAGACAAAGCCUGUGGGGUGUCUCCCCAGAUUCCAGGAACUCUCCAAAUCAGAUAGACCAGGAUUAUGAAACUCAGCCUCUUCUAUGAAGGGUCCCACUGGAUCCCAUAAUAAGUGGGAAUUCUACCCUCAGCCCAGACUCUCCGGACUCCAGCCCAAUCUCAGUCUUAACCUCAGGGUUCCAGCUUUCCUCCGUCCAUUGCCACAUCAAACUCACCUGUUCUGGGUUUGCAUGUCAGGUACAUUUUCUGAUCAAUAUGCAUUUGCCUAUUCCUAUUCUGUGACUAAGGUAUUCCUUGGGUAUUGAUGGGUCUGCCUGCGUGUGUUCUCAAAUCUAAAGUCAUCAGCUACCCUUUGAACAUUGUAAGCAUGUUAUAUACAGGUUAUUUUUGCCUUUAGUUAUCUCAGUAACAUUAUAUUCCAUGUUAUAUGGCAUUUAAACUAUCUGGGUGGUCUUGUAUAUAAUACUUUACUUCCUUCAGAACCACAGGAAAAACUAAUUGCUAUUACUUCUGUGAGAGAUGGGGAUUCUCAAGGGACUUGCCCGUCAGUUUACAAAGUAGUGAUGGGGCUGGGCGUGGUGGCUAAUGCCUGUAAUCCCAGCACUUUGGGAGGCUGAGGCGGGCGGAUCGUUUGAGAUCAGGAGUUCCAGAUCAGACUGACCAGCAUGGGUAAACUCCAUCUCUACUAAAAAUACAAAAAUUAGCUGGGUGUGGUGGCGCAUGACUGUAAUCCCAGCUACUCAGGAGGCUGAGGCAUGAGAAUCACCUGAACCCGGAGGCAGAGGUUGCAGUGAGCUGAGAUUGCACCACUGUACUCCAGCCUGGGCAACAGAGGGAGACUCUGUCUCAAAAAAAAAAAAAAAAAAAAAAAGGAGCAAAGCCUCUGGCUCUUGUGUCAGCAGUCUCACCAGCCAGGGCUCUGUUUGUGUUCUGUAGUAGCCCCCACAGGGCUACAGGCGAAUAUAUUGCAGUUGCAGCCAGUAAGGAUGAUGCAACUGAGAAAGGCUGGCGGGCAGGUGGGUGCAGCCGGGGAUGGCCAGGGAUAGCCAGCCAGGCAGGGAACUCCUGAGCUGAGACUGCUGAAAGAUGGAUACUUCUGGGCCCCAGAAACAGCUCUUGGCUCCCAAAUACCCUCUCAGCUUCCUGAAAACCUCUAAAUAGCUAGGCGCAGUGGCUCAUGCCUGUAAUCCCAGCACUCUGGGAGGCUGAGGCAGGCGGAUCACUUGAGACCAGGAGUUCAAGACAAGCCUGGCCAACAUGGUGAAACCCCAUCUCUACUAAAAAUACAAAAAUUAGUUGGCCAUGGUGGCACGCACCUGUAAUCCCAGCUACUCGGGAGUCUGAGGCAGGAGAAUCACUUGAACCCAGGAGGCAGAAGUUGCAGUGAGCCGAGAUUGUGCCAUUGCACUCCAGCCUGGUCGUCAGAGUGAGACUCCGUCUCAAACAAAAAACAAGAAACAAAAAACAAGCCUCUAAAUAGGGAAUAAAUCUUUACAGUUCAAGUUGACAGACCUGGGUGCAAAUCCCAGCUGGGCUCCUCACUGGCUGUGUGAACUUGGGCAGGAUACCUAACCUCUCUGAAAUUUUGUUUAAUCAUAUGUUUUU
rnacentral:lncRNA from 1 species